rnacentral:rRNA from 1 species
UGGGGAAUUUUGGACAAUGGGCGAAAGCCUGAUCCAGCAAUGCCGCGUGUGUGAAGAAGGCCUUCGGGUUGUAAAGCACUUUUGUCCGGAAAGAAAUCCUUGGCUCUAAUACAGUCGGGGGAUGACGGUACCGGAAGAAUAAGCACCGGCUAACUACGUGCCAGCAGCCGCGGUAAUACGUAGGGUGCAAGCGUUAAUCGGAAUUACUGGGCGUAAAGCGUGCGCAGGCGGUUUGCUAAGACCGAUGUGAAAUCCCCGGGCUCAACCUGGGAACUGCAUUGGUGACUGGCAGGCUAGAGUAUGGGCAGGAGGGGGGUAGAAUUCCACGUGUAGCAGUGAAAUGCGUAGAGAUGUGGAGGAAUACCGAUGGCGAAGGCAGCCCCUGGGCCAAUACUGACGCUCAUGCACGAAAGCGUGGGGAGCAAAACAGGAUUAGAUACCCUGGUAGUCCACGCCCUAAACGAUGUCAACUAGUUGUUGGGGAUUCAUUUCCUUAGUAACGUAGCUAACGCGUGAAGUUGACCGCCUGGGGAGUACGGUCGCAAGAUUAAAA